rnacentral:misc_RNA from 1 species
GGAGGAGCCAAGAGGCACAGGAAGUUUUUGAGGGAUAACAUCUAGGGGAUCACGAAACCAGCGAUUCGUCGGCUUGUUUGUAGAGGAGGCGUGAAGCGUAUCAGUGGCCUCAUUUACGAAGAGACCAGAGGCGUUCUCAAGAUCUUCCUUGACAAUGUGAUUCGCGAUGCUGUAACUUACACUAAACAUGCACAAAGAAAGACCGUAACCGCCAUGCACGUUGUCUAUGCUCUCAAGAGGCAGGGUCGGACACUUUAUGGUUUUGGUGGUUGAUUUUGUAUUUUU